ACCACCACCCAACAACCACCACCACCCAACACCACCACCACCACCACCACCACCAAUAAAACCUUUACAACAAGAGCCACUAACGGAGUCGAUUCUCCAGAUUCCUAUUUUUUGUUUCUCUCUCUCGCUCUUUACUAUAAAAUCCCAAUGAAACACGUUACAGAGUGCAAGUGAAGCCCUUUAAAUGAUCCAGUGUCAUUGCGUGUGUGUGUGUGCGCGCGCGUGCGUGUAUUGCGAGUGUGUGUUGUACGGAUCUGCCUUAUCGUGCAUCUAUGCUGCCUUUCGCUGAGCUUCUAAUGUUGGACCAUAGAUAGACACAGACCAUACAGUAUCUCCAGUGUGUUGAGGAACAGACUUAUAGCUGCAGUGUUUGUGGGUGUGUGAGAGAGAGAGAGAGUUCACUGUCUCACAAGUUUAACACAACUCCAAUCAAUCAGUCACCCAAAUGUCUAAUUAAUGUGUGUAACUACUGCUCAGUGAAGCCGGAGCAACAACUCACCCUCAGCACGUCAUUUGUGUUUGUCAGGGCUUACAUACUGUAUAUGUGGAAGAAUUAAGGCCAUACAUGUGAAUAUAUUUCUUAAGAGGGCAUGCAUAUGAAUUUAUUCGUUAGAUGAAUGAACUGGUUUGGCGCCUGGGGCGUACAGGUUAAUAUAUUUGUUAGGUGAGUGGGGUAUGAGUGGGACUGCAUAUAGGUUCAUAUAUUUGUUAGGUGAGUGGGGUAUGAGUGGGACUGCAUAUAGGUUAAUAUAUUUGUUAGGUGAGUGGGGUAUGAGUGGGACUGCAUAUAGGUUAAUAUAUUCGGUAGAUGAUUUGCCCUCAGGAUGUCUGUUUGUCUGACUUUCCUGACUUUCCUAUCAUGUUGUUGUACAGAUUUUAACUCUUCAAAUGACAUUCAGGUAGGCUGGCGAUCUGAAGCCUUGCUCUAGUGCUGUAUACCUGUGAACUCUGACCCCUGAGGAACACAGAUUAACUUCCUCUUUUCCCCUGUUGUUGUUAUUGUUGUUUUCCUCCCUACCAUUCCAGAUCUGCCUUCUUCAUGUGUGUGUUGAUGAUGAUGCAGAAACUCUGAUGUAGAUACAGUCUGAUCUUAAAUUAUUACUUUUGACAGUUGUCUCUCAUAAGUUUGUUUUAUACGUUAGCGUUUUUCGUGUCGGCCAGUCAGAGCUCCGUCAUGUGCCAAUCCCCGUCUCCACGGAAACGCAGGAUUCUUACCUGUGAUGUAAUCUCAUAGGCUAUAUAUAAAUUCUGUAAAUAACAGUUUAUGAAGUGUUACUUGAUUCUAUGUAAUUAUUACGAUGAGGACUAUUUUAAUUACUUCAUGUUAUUUGCUGUGGUUGUAGUUAAAUCAUCUUAUUCUCUCAUUUCCAUUGUGUUAUUGAAGAACCCAUAAGUUGUAGGGCUACAGAUCAAACAGAAGGGGAGAAAUGAUACGUCAACAUUAAAGUGGAUUCUAAUUCUGACAACUGAAGCAAGACUGAAGUUGAGGAAGUAUUUUGUUUUUAUUGUAGAAGGUGUAGACCAGUGUUGGUCUGUGUGUCUCUAAAUGCUAUAUAGAUAGAGGGCAGGUAGACCCUUCUGGAAAAAGAACACAAAGAUUACUUUUUAAAAAAAAUAAAUUUGGUUAAAGGAGA